rnacentral:tRNA from 1 species
AAGUGGUGCAGUGGUAGCAUGUCUGCUUUGGGAGCAGGUGGUCGGGGGUUCGAUCCCCCCCUUU